GGCAGCAGCCAGGCUUGUGCUUCCUACAGCUACUCUCUAAGACUUCCUUGGGUGUCUUCCUUGCUGCAGGCAGUGCCCUCCAUGACAUAAGAGCCUCCAAGUGGGCUUCGCCUAUCACCGGUACUGCAAAUCCCUCAGUACAUGCUACUAAGGAAGUACACUCAACCCAUAUCUAAGUUGGAGCAUCCUAGGACCGACUUUCAGUUGGCAAGAGAAGUACCAAAGACAGAGUUACGCCAUGCAGACAGACAUAGCCCAUUUUACAGCUGACUAUGAUGAAGUUCUUAGAGCCUGAAGCAGAGUAAGAAGACUUUUAAUGAAUAUCCUCCUGCUGAAGAUCUCAAGAGCUAUAUGCCCAAACUUGGAUGGGAACUUGUUCUAGCGAAAUAAUA